UACGUAGGGUGCGAGCGUUGUCCGGAAUUAUUGGGCGUAAAGAGCUCGUAGGCGGCUUGUCGCGUCGGAUGUGAAAGCCCGGGGCUUAACUCCGGGUCUGCAUUCGAUACGGGCAGGCUAGAGUGUGGUAGGGGAGAUCGGAAUUCCGUGGUGGUAGCGGUGAAAUGCGCAGAGUAUCAGGAGGAACACCGGUGGCGAAGGCGGAUCUCUGGGCCGAUACUGACGCUGAGGAGCGAAAGCGUGGGGAGCAAACAGG
rnacentral:rRNA from 1 species